UUCUAGCAGAAGAAUUUCAUUGUCAUUGUGCGUUUGUUCUCGUUAGAAACGUAAAACUUGACAGGUGUCAUGAAGUGUUGCGUCUUAAACUGUGUAAUGCAACACACGAACGGAGUAAAGUUUUUGGUGUUUCCGAAAAGAAAUCCUCGAUGUAGUAAAAAAUUACAAGAACUUCAGAGUUUACGGAGGAAAGCGUGGUUAAAAAAUUUAUGGUUAAAGAAGUGUAACAUCAACAAACAUUCUAGAGUUUGUUCCUAUCAUUUUGUGAGAGAAGUCAUUUUUACAUCUCAUUUAGAUGACUCACACCCUGACUGGGCCCCUACACUUAAUAUAACAUUUGAUGAUAAAGGUAAAUCACAUCGGUUGAACAAACUGAAGCAGGAGCGAUUCUCCCGAAGAAUGGAAAGGGAACUAGCCAAUCAAAAAAAAAAAUGAAAUUGGUGUUGAAAUGCCUGUCAUAUAAGAUACUGAUAACAAUUUGUCGUACAAUAAUUGCAUUCUCGAAGAUUCCAGCAACUUAGUUGAUGGUGAUAGAGAUCAAGUUCAAGUAAUCAUUGCUGAAUUAAGACAACAACUGGAAAUUGUUACAGAAGAAAAAAACCAGUUGUUGGUUGAAAAUCAUAAACUAAUGGAGCAAACUGAUCAAUUAGCUGCUUCACUUAGUUGUCUCAAUGUUGAGCUCCACAACAUGAAGACAGAAAAGGCUGAACAACCAAAAUGUGCUGUUGAAACUCAUAGAAUGUCGUACAUUUCCUUUAAAUAUGACCCAUGUCGGAGUUUAAUAGCACACAAUUUACUAACCCAACCAUUACUUACCAUGAA